ACGGGCUGUAAAACAGCCGCCUUUGUGAAUCUUGUCUCUGUGAGUCUUCGUUCAAGUCCCUGAAGCGCUGUGAGCCGCGGUGGAGGCCACUGGUGGGCUGUGCGGGGCCAUCUUCGCUGGACUCCGGGACUUCCACAAAGGUACGCUCCUCCGUGAGUGAGGUCAUGAUUGGGGUCCCGUCUCGGGAAGGUGCUAGAAAACGCUGUUCUGCCAUCUUGCCAACAUCGUUCUCUCCUGACUGCGUCUCUGCGUUUGUGAGUUUGGAAUUUUUAUUUUCUCCUGAUUGUUCACAUUGGAUUUUCUCUGGGCCAAGGUCUUUUCUUUCCAUGUCCUAACCAGGGAUUGGCACUUUUUUUUUUUUUUUUUCUGAAAUAGGCCAGGUAGUACAUAUUUUCAACUUUGUGGCCCCUGCCGCCUCUGUCCAGAGGACUGCAGUCUGAUGUAACGUGGAGGCAGCCCCCUAUGCGGUACAGGAGCCGAUGGGGGUGGCCAGCUUCCAGUAAAAAAUUAAGUUACGCAAACGGGUGGUGGCCUAGACUGGGCCACGGGCCACCCAACAUCUGUGGCAUCAUCCUAGCCCAGCCCCACCCAGAGAGAGGGAGGUGGAUGAAACAGAAUGAGCCUGUUUUUGGCUCUGAUCGCUUCAACAGGAGGUGACUGGGAAAGUGUCAGUGUCAACACAUCACCGUUCAACGUCGCGCCCUGUGACGUCCGAGCUCGGUGACCCUGCACGGCCUUCAUUAAUCUGUCAGGGUGCACAUGUCGAUAAUAUUGCUAAUUGUGGAGAGGGUUUUGUUUUUUGUUUUUUGUUUUUCCUAAUAUGUUCACCUUUGAAGGAGUUAGGUAGAGCCCAAAGGGGACAGAUUUGAAGCUGACUCUGCAGUCUUCCCAGGAAUAAAAAAAUGAGGUUGAACAGAAGAUGAAAUAAAGACAACACCUGGUGUUUGAAAGGAGGGACCCCGCUGAGCUGACAUGAAAAUCUCACAUCGUAGUUCUAUCUCUUUUGAAAAAGCAUUGGCGAGACUGUCUGCGAGACCGAUGUCAGGGUUUGUCCUGCCUUGGGUUCUGUUAAUCUCCAGUUCCGGGGUCUUGCCCUAGAGUAGACUUAAUCAAUAUUUGCCUAUUGACAGAGGGUUUUGAUGCUUAUUCCUCUGUGGGGCUGGGGCUGACUUGAACGUACUCCAUUCUGGGACCAUCCGCUGCCAGUUUUUCAGCAAGAUAACCUGGAACUGUGUUCACACUGUGCAGGAGGUCAGCUUCCCAUUUCUAGCUGUCUGAGAAAGUCUUAAUGAUUCAUUGACAUGUGUGGCAUUUGCAACAUGAUCUUUAAUUACUUUCCAUUCUGA